GACCUCAAAUCAGGUAGGACUACCCGCUGAACUUAAGCAUAUCAAUAAGCGGAGGAAAAGAAACUAACAAGGAUUCCCCUAGUAACUGCGAGUGAAGCGGGAAAAGCUCAAAUUUAAAAUCUGGCGGUCUUUUGGUCGUCCGAGUUGUAAUCUAGAGAAGUGUUAUCCGCGUUGGACCGUGUACAAGUCUCCUGGAAUGGAGCGUCAUAGAGGGUGAGAAUCCCGUCUUUGACACGGACUGCCAGUGCUUUGUGAUGCGCUCUCAAAGAGUCGAGUUGUUUGGGAAUGCAGCUCAAAAUGGGUGGUAAAUUCCAUCUAAAGCUAAAUAUUGGCGAGAGACCGAUAGCGAACAAGUACCGUGAGGGAAAGAUGAAAAGAACUUUGGAAAGAGAGUUAAACAGUACGUGAAAUUGCUGAAAGGGAAACGCUUGAAGUCAGUCGCGUUGUCCGGGGAUCAACCUUGCUUUUGCUGGGUGUACUUUCCGGUUGACGGGUCAGCAUCAAUUUUGACCGUUGGAUAAAGUGUAGGGGAAUGUGGCAUCCUCGGAUGUGUUAUAGCCCUUGCUCGCAUACAACGGUUGGGAUUGAGGAACUCAGUACGCCGCAAGGCCGGGAAUUUAUUCCACGUUCGUACUUAGGAUGCUGGCAUAAUGGCUUUAAUCGACCCGUCUUGAAACACGGACCAAGGAGUCUAACAUGCCUGCGAGUGUUUGGGUGGAAAACCCGAGCGCGUAAUGAAAGUGAAAGUUGAGAUCCCUGUCGUGGGGAGCAUCGACGCCCGGACCAGACCUUUUGUGACGGAUCUGCGGUAGAGCAUGUAUGUUGGGACCCGAAAGAUGGUGAACUAUGCCUGAAUAGGGUGAAGCCAGAGGAAACUCUGGUGGAGGCUCGUAGCGAUUCUGACGUGCAAAUCGAUCGUCAAAUUUGGGUAUAGGGGCGAAAGACUAAUCGAACCAUCUAGUAGCUGGUUCCU
rnacentral:rRNA from 1 species